rnacentral:rRNA from 1 species
GGGGGGGGGGGGGGGGGGGGGUGGGGCGGGCGGGGCGGGCGGAGGGGCCCUGCUUGGGUGGGGUGCUCGCGUGGCGGACGGGUGGGUAACACGUGAGUAACCUGCCCUUGACUUUGGGAUCACUUCAGGGGACUGGGGCUGAUACCGGAUCGGCGCUCCUGCUGCAUGGUUUGGGUUGGACAUUUUCGGCGGUUGGGGAUGGACUCGCGGCUUCUCAGCUUGUUGGUGGGGUAGUGGCUUACCAAGGCGUUGACGGGUAGCCGGCCUGGGAGGGUGACCGGCCACAUGGGGACUGAGAUACGGCCCAGACUCCUACGGGAGGCAGCAGUGGGGAAUAUUGCACAAUGGGCGGAAGCCUGAUGCAGCAACGCCGCGUGCGGGAUGACGGCCUUCGGGGUGUAAACCGCUUUCGCCUGUGACGAAGCGUGAGUGACGGUAAUGGGUAAAGAAGCACCGGCUAACUACGUG